UACGUAGGGUGCAAGCGUUGUCCGGAAUUAUUGGGCGUAAAGAGCUCGUAGGCGGUCUGUCGCGUCGGCUGUGAAAACUCGGGGCUCAACUCCGAGCUUGCAGUCGAUACGGGCAGGCUAGAGUUCGGCAGGGGGAGACUGGAAUUCCUGGUGUAGCGGUGAAAUGCGCAGAUAUCAGGAGGAACACCGGUGGCGAAGGCGGCUCACUGGCCCGGUACUGACGCUGAGGUGCGAAAGCGUGGGGGAGCAAACAGG
rnacentral:rRNA from 1 species